AGGGCCUGGGGCGUCAACGGCUGCGAGCUGCGGAAAGGCACUGCGUGUUGGCCGCCCGGGUGCAAUUCUAGCCUCCCUGCACCGCCAACAGCCCUCGCGACCUGAGUCGCACCUGCUCACUCGCCUGGUCCACGAGCAACAGGUUCUGAGGCCGGGGUCCUCUGGCGCUGGUGGCUUCUCCUGCCCACGGUGCUCGUGUGCGUCUGGGGCCGGCCUGCGAGUGGCCCGGUGCAUCCAGCUAGUGCGUGUUCUGCAGCCUGACAAAGCUCUGGACUUGCAGUAAAGUCAACUAUUGGGCCAGGUCCAGGAUCUCCUUGUAUAAAGCAGACUCCCUCUGGCUUGAUGAACAUGCGUCUGAAAAAAAUUAAAAGGGUAGUUGCUUCUUUCUUUUUCUUAUGAAGCAUGCAGAGAGAAGAAGCAUCUGUUCUGAGAACAAGGAGGAUGAAAACAUAAAUUAAAAGUUCAGUCCCAGUGAGCCGCCUUCUGUAUCUGAGUCAGAGAGAAGAGAGCCAGUUACACAAAAAAUCAUCUGUGGGGAAGCGUAAGGAGUCUGGAAUCAGCCACAUCUGCCUUUGAAUCCUCUCCGCCAUUUACUAGGUGCAUAAUCUUUGAGCGCAGCCCGUCACCACACUAUCAUCGAUUUGGGACAAAAGACGAGUGAACAACACUGAGACAGAAUGUUCUUUCUGAGAAAUAGUCGGAUCUCGAUGAAAUUCGGAGCAGACUCCUUAGCAAGAGGAUUGUUUGUUCGCUGCUUGGCUGCAGAUCUGUUUUUUAAGACUGAAGGGGAUUGAUCUGAUCAGAGGGCUUUGCUUUCAGAAGCUGUCACAGGGCCCAAGUGACAGAGCCGCUUGUCCCCCACGUGGCAGUUUCUGAGUACUGCAGCCACACCCCUGCAUACUGCACCCCAGCCAUUCAGAGCAUGACGGCUCCGAGUCCCAGGAGAAAGCAUUUCUCAUUCGGUAUUAAAACCUGAUGACACACAAAAGGAGAUGCACGAUGUUUAUAAAGCUGAAUGUUUGGAAAACUCAGCGCUGCCACAUCAGAUGUUUGGAGACACCCAAGGAGGCGAAGAGUGAAGCAUUGUGGCGAAUCCGAUGCCGACCUUCCUUUCAUUGGGAACCAGAGCUUCGC